ensembl:lncRNA
GAUAAUAUUCAGGUUAAGCCUGCCUUAUUCAACAUGGAGUUUCCAUUUGAUGCCCAGGUUAUGUUUUGAGCCCUCUGUGUAGAUUUUUUAUGGUUUGCUAAUAGACUUUCAGACACCACUUUUAAUUUACCUGGUGUAAAACUUAGCAUCUUACAGAUGUAUAGAGACCUGGCUGAUAUCCAAGUGAAUGUGAACCAUUUCUUCAACAGGUACCAGAAAGAAUAAUUACAUUUUUUCUGUUACAGGAAAAAAAAAAGAUCAUAGGUCAGCAAGAAUCAUGAGUCAUAUCUUCUAUGUUUGAGUUGAUGUAUUAUUCCACAACAAUGGAUUUUGAGCCUGUGUAGGCUGAGUAUACAGAAUGCUGUUCUCCACACUUCCAUAAGCAAAGGAUCCCUAGCACAAGAAAGACAUGGAGCUGUUGGAGCAAAUCCUGAGGCGGGCCACAAAGACAAUCAGAAGGCUGGAGCACCGCCCCUGUGAAGAGAGGCUGAGGGAGCUAAGCUUGUACCCCUUUGUAUUUCUUGCAGUUUCCAUUGCUUGUGGUAUUACUUUUGCCGCAAACCUCAUAGAAUGCAAUUUCCAAAUAUGAUGAGUAUGAUUAUUUCCUGUAUCAGAUCAUAGAUGCAGGAAUCAGGGCCAAAAUCUCUCUCCUUCAGCUUACCUGUUGUUAGGGCUGGCAAUUAUGUGUUUGCUAAAAAUUUUGUGGUGGAAGGUAAAGAAAAGUGCCAUGCUCCUCUCAGUGACACUAUGCAUGAUGUCAACAUGAUGGAAGUAUGUGACUUGCUUAUUCAUAUUGUACCUUGGCUUUCUGCUAAUUAGACACUUUUCUAAAUUCAUGGUCAUUGACCUCUCACAACCAUACUGAAAUUUCAGUGAAAUAGCCAGCAGCUAUUUAUUUUUCAAUCACACAAAUCUCUAAACAUACAAAAGAUGAGGAUCAGAAACAACUUGGAACAGAAGCUGAAGUAAAAUAGCAAGAAACCCAGACUUAAAUAUCUGAAGAAAUGGAUCUGUGCUUUUGUAACUAGAAGGAAAUGUUCUAGUUCAGAAUUUUCCCUGAACCGCUAACGCUUAGAAUAACAUUCUUAUGCUUUUUUUUUUUUGUCUUUACUAUAUGAUACACUUGUGAGAAGUCUAUGCUGUCUUUGCCAUGCUUUUUCUUUCUCUGAAUAGAGAAAGGGCUAUAGCAUAUAGAAAAGGUGUAUGCUGCAGCUACCAAGACUUGUUUUAUUUGUUUAAAUCAUCUCUACUUGUUUGUUUCCUUGAAGCUUUUCACUGGGAGAAAGUUGCGCAGUUGACAUGUUCCUACAUAUGCCAAUUAGAAUCUUCAAGCCCACACUUCUUUCUUUUCCUCUCUUUUUUUUUUUUUUUUUUUUUUUUUAUUUGAACAGAUUUUUCUGCCUGGAAGCUUCCUCAUGGGCCUGGGAGGCAGAUUACACUUUUCUCCAUGGGAUGCAUCCAGCUGGCUGCAGGAGAUCUGGAUCUUAUCGUUAUUUCUGCUACUAACCUACUUUGGGCAAGCUGCUUCCUUUCUCUGUGCCUUUGUGCCCUUGGUCACCAACUGAGAUUAGAAAUGGUUCAAGGAAAAGCAUGUCUGUAAAAAUUACAAUGAGUUUGUGCAAUACUUUUAGCACAGUGGGGUUCCUCAGUCAGUGAUGGCCUUAAACUAUUGCUAAAGGACAAACAUGAGUAAGAUCCCUACAGCUGCUUUUGAUCCACAUCUCUCAGUGCCUCUUCCAUCUCAUUCCUUAUCAUCCUUUAAUCCCUUUAUCUUCUCAUUUUUGUUGUUUCCUUUUGUCCAUACCAGCUUAUGGAGGUUUUAAUAUGCUUUCCUUCCCAACAGCUCUGAAUCCCUGAGCCGACGUUGACAUAUUCUCACACUGAAAAGCUUCCCUUAAAAACUGCAGUGUCACUGGAAUGGGAGCCCAGAUAAGUACCUGCCUAUACCAAAGAGAGUGAAGCCAGGUCACAGCCAGAAAGUACAUGAGGCCACAAAGAAGCAAAGAUUUUAGCUACAUGUUCAGCCUUUUCCCAGAAGCAAUACAGCCUCGCUGGUCAAUGUUCAACAGAUACUGCAUGUUGUGGGAUCCAGCUUACUGUUAAGAACUAUGUGCUGAGUUGUCAACGUUUGGACAGCACUGGGCUACACACAGAUUUUCAUGAAGGCUGAUUCCUUACAUGCUGGUUAAACAUUACUAUUCCAACAAGAGAAAAGCUGAUCUGAAAUCCCAUUGGUGUCAGUUACUGGAGGUGCUGUCUAGAAGGAAAGCACCCUAUAGUCUCCCUUCCAUUUUUUCUCAUCUGUUACUGCCCAUGACAAACAGAUUCAUUCUAAGUGGAAAUUUCAAGCCCAGUGAUACUGUCCCUUUCCUCGUCAGUCAACAGAGAGAUGCGUACACUGCAGAAGGGACAUGUGCCUCCCCAGAGCUACAGCCAAACCUACCGUGAUUUUGAGGACCAUCAGCAAAGGUCAGAGCAUCACUCUGCCAAGCCAUAAUGCAUCUAUCAACAUAAAGUCAAAGUCUGUCCCCAG